rnacentral:lncRNA from 1 species
GCCUGUAGCUUCAUCCCUGCACAAUCUAAUCCGUCAACGGGCAAAGAUCAGAGAUAAGUGUGACCGCAAAAUUCUAACAAUCUGAUGACCUAUUCCUAAGAAUAGGUGUCCAUGGUGAUAGCGAAGAAUAAAUCAUCAUGUGGUUUAAGGGUUUCCCAAAUGAGGAAGAUUCCAACUGUCAUGAUUUCUACACAUUAAAAUCUGGAUCAUGAAUCUAUUGCCAUCCAUCAUGUACAUCACAGCCCUUCAGUUUAUAGGAGACAAUAGAAUUUGCCAGAAGAUUUUUAAAGUAUUAUACAACUCUAAUUACAAAGUCACUAUGGCUUCUUAAGAAGCAAUUUAAAAGAACUAUACUCCAAUGCAGAUGACCUUCCUUCUGAC